AAGGGCGAGGAACACGUGGGCAACCUGUCUACGUGAAGGUGGGGGAAAACCGCUGGAAACGGCGGUCUAAUACCGAAUGUAGCGCCCGACUCGCAUGAGCGGAGCGCCAAAGGGGCGAAAGCUCCCCUCUCCGGAGGGGCCCGCGCACCAUCAGCUUGUUGGCGGGGUAACGGCCCACAAGGCUCACGGUUAGCUGGUCUGAGAGGAUGGCCAGCCGCACUGGGACUGAGAUACUGCCCAGACUCCUACGGGAGGCUGCAGUCGAGGAUCAUUUGCAAUGGGCGAAAGCCUGACAAUGCGACGCUGCGUGGAGGAUGAAGGCCCUCGGGUUGUAAACUCCUGUCAUGGGGGAAAAGGAAACGGGACCCAACACGUCCCCGAUUUGAUGGUACCCCAAGAGGAAGCGACGGCUAACUCUGUGCCAGCAGCCGC
rnacentral:rRNA from 1 species